rnacentral:rRNA from 1 species
GCUGGGCACUCUAAGGAUACUGCCAGGGGUAACCUGGAGGAAGGUGGGGAUGACGUCAAAUCAUCAUGCCCCUUAUGAUUUGGGCUACACACGUGCUACAAUGGCGUAAACAAAGUGAAGCGAGCCGGCGACGGUAAGCAAAUCACAGAAAUAACGUCUCAGUUCGGAUUGUAGUCUGCAACUCGACUACAUGAAGCUGGAAUCGCUAGUAAUCGCGAAUCAGAAUGUCGCGGUGAAUACGUUCCCGGGUCUUGUACACACCGCCCGUCACACCAUGGGAGUCGGAAAUGCCCGAAGUCGGUGACCCAACCGCAAGGAGGGAGCCGCCGAAGGCAGGUCUGAUAACUGGGGUGAAGUCGUAACAAGGUAGCCGUA